GGCGUGGGCGGUAGUUCUUCAAGCUGUAACUCUUGAGCUGUUAACUCUCAUAGAGCUGUAUACCGAUCAUGCCGGAGUUAUCUUCAAAAGUCCAACUAAACUCAUCAGUGUGUUCAUCAACCAAUAAUAUAUGACCGUCGUAUGAGAAUGGCACCCAAAUAACAUGAUGCUGGAAAUAAGAGCCAUUCAGGUUCUGCUUGGAUUCUAGGUUGGUAUCUGCAUUCUUUCUGGGUCAUCCAGGAUCUCAUAUCAUCUCAAGAGCCCAGGUAGGGCCUGAAUCCAGUAACAAGUGUCCUUAUAAGAGACAGGAGAGAAGACACAGAAAAGAUUAUGUGAAAGAUGAAGGCAGAGAUUGAAGUGAUGUGGCUACAAACCAAGGAACACAAAAGAUUCCUGGAAGCCACUAGAAAGUAGGAGGGAAGUAUGCGACAAAUUCUCUCUCAGAGCAUAAAGACGGA
rnacentral:lncRNA from 1 species